GCCUCCCCGGAGGGCCGUUUUUCCCUUUCAUUUUUCAUCUGGCCAACAAACAAUGUGGUCACAGCCUGUCGGGAACUUCCGUCCUCCAACCGUAAGGGGGUGGAUGGCUGAGAGUGGAAAUUCCAAGAUGAGAAAACUGAAGUAACUGGCCCAGGAUCUAAGGACUUGACCAACUUUGAAGCGUUCAGAGGAAGCUGGACCUCCACAUCUUCCUACCUAUGUCCUAGCAUUAUCCUCUGGAUCAGUAGUGGCUCUCAUCUUUUGAUCUGUGUCAUAACUGAAGCUUUGGAUCAGCUAAUUGCCAUCUGUAUCAGGAGCCAAGGACUGACCGGAAUCAUGGCUGUGCAGCAAAGAAACUCUGCCAUGCCUAAAGGGAACUUCCCGAGUGCUCCAAGAAUGGGAGAAAAGAACUCCAGAAACCAAAAGCUAUUUAGUUAUUCCUUUGCCACAUGUGCUCUCUAGGUUUAAGCCCACUUUUUCUUGGAUUCUGCAUGUACUUAUGAGGGGAUGUCGCAGACUUUUGGAGUGUUUCAUAUAACAACCCUUCCAACUAUACCAUCUUAGUAAAUACCCUUUUCUAAAAAACUACUCAAAGCUUUAAUGGCUAAAUUUAUUCUCAAGUGAUAGUUUUGGGAGGCAAUACCAGUGGGGGCUUGAGCCAAUGGCAUUAAAGAAUCAUCCCUGAUCCUUUAGGAAUACUUUUAGAAUUCGAGGGGAAGAGGUAGCUAGGGGAUUCAACUCAUCAGUAAAAGUGGAAGUAGGUAUAAGACUAUCUCAGAACUUUGAUGGGCUACUUGGGGAAAAGAGAGCAAAAGGAUACAGAACAUCUGUAAAAAAAUGAAGGAAGGAAGAAGCAUAGAAAAGGGAGAAAGGUAUGAAGAGGAGGCCGGCAGAUAUAUGUAUCUACUGUGCAAAUUUAUUGAGGGUUGGCCCUCCCAUGAAUUUAAUUCAUCUUCUGGUUACUGAAGAGAAAAGAAACUGGAUUAAAACUAGUUUAGAAGUGACACAUAGGGGAACUAAAGAGACCCUUGCCCCCCCUUUUUUUGCCAUCUUCAAAAAAAAAAAACUAUCACAGGUCAAAAUGUCCUAUGUACCUUGAUUCUUAAUUCCCUUUUGAUAAUAACCUUCAUUCUUCAGACUCCACACAACACCUUGCUCUAUGCCUCUGUGAUUUAUCCUUUAUGAGAACAUUGUACAACUCCACCUCAAUUAAUAUAUUGCAAUCAAUGUAAGAUAGGAUUAAAUUUUAAAUGAGUAACCAAAAUGGCUCACCAUCCCUCUCCCUUCAUUAGGUAUGAAAUUCUUCUAUUGGUCAAUAAGGGAAUUGGCUAACCACAACUCUAGAGCUUUACACAGCAGAAUUCCCCAGUCCUUCAAUGUUAUCCCCAGAACUGUGAGAGGAUGUAUAAUAUAUUGUUCCUUUACGCCUUUGCCCCAACUUGCACUUGCAUUCACCAGUUGGGAUAGCCAGAAGAUCAAGUGCUCUUAUUUACCUCUCUGGAUUCUAGGGGUAACCCCAAGGGCCUAGAGUUUCUAAUAUCGUCAUUCCCAAGUACUCACAGGUAUGCUUCCCAUUUUAAUCAAUUCAUUAGUUUUCUCAGUAAAGGGCAUUUACUGAUGUGGUCAUAGUAAGAACA